CCGCCUGGCCGUCUGGUCCGUCUGCUCCGGAGGCCGUGACGGCCAGACUCGUUGGUGUCCUGUGGUUCGUCUCAGUCACUACAGGACCCUGGGGGGCUGUUGCCACCUCCGCCGGGGGCGAGGAGUCGCUUAAGUGCGAGGACCUCAAAGUGGGACAAUAUCCUCUGUGGAGAACACCCCCCCAUGGAGGCGAGGUAGAGUUGGGGUCGCAGGGUCUUACUCUGUCGCCCUGGCUGGAGUACAGUGGCACGAUCUCAGCUCACUGCAGCCUCCGCCUCCCGGGUUCAGUCAAUUCUCCUGCCUCAGCCUCCUGAGUAGCUGGGACUACAGGCAUGCGCCACCACACCCGGAUCCAAAAAUAAAUGACGCUACGCAAGAACCAGUUAACUGUACAAACUACACAGCUCAUGUUUCCUGUUUUCCAGCACCCAACAUAACUUGUAAGGAUUCCAGUGGCAAUGAAACACAUUUUACUGGGAACGAAGUUGGUUUUUUCAAGCCCAUAUCUUGCCGAAAUGUAAAUGGCUAUUCCUACAAAGUGGCAGUCGCAUUGUCUCUUUUUCUUGGAUGGUUGGGAGCAGAUCGAUUUUACCUUGGAUACCCUGCUUUGGGUUUGUUAAAGUUUUGCACUGUAGGGUUUUGUGGAAUUGGGAGCCUAAUUGAUUUCAUUCUUAUUUCAAUGCAGAUUGUUGGACCUUCAGAUGGAAGUAGUUACAUUAUAGAUUACUAUGGAACCAGACUUACAAGACUGAGUAUUACUAAUGAAACAUUUAGAAAAACGCAAUUAUAUCCAUAAAUAUUUUUUAAAAGAAACAGAUUUGAGCCUCCUUGAUUUUAAUAGAGAACUUCUAGUGUAUGGAUUUAAAGAUUUCUCUUUUUCAUUCAUAUACCAUUUUAUGAGUUCUGUAUAAUUUUUUGUGG
rnacentral:lncRNA from 1 species